GCAAAUAUAUCAGUUGGUAUAGAAAACUAAAUAUUCCGUUAACUCAUCCGUCGAGAUAUCCAAAUAUUUUUAUGGAAUUGUCCAUCGACACAUAUGGAUCGGCCUUUUUUUCCUUCUCCCGCGCUCAGCCAGACCAAUCUCACGCGGAAACUUUGCCUAGGAGGCCCACCGGUCAGCCAGUUACCCCCAAACAUUGGUGAGGAGACAUAACCCUAGCCCCCUUCACCAAUUUCCCGGCCGCCACUCCCUCCCUCUCGAUCUCCCCCAAAUCCCGUCGCCGCGCGCUUUCACCUCCCAAAAUCACCGCCGCCGCCUGCUUGCUCCUCCAAAAGCGCCCGCGCCUGAGGCCCCGAGGCCCUCCCCAAACCUCACGCCUGCUUCCCACUCCCACUCCUUCCCUCUACUGCUAGCAAUCUCCUCGACGUUGCUGCUUUACUGGUGCGUCCGCUGCCGGAAUCUCAUCCACCCUGCUGACGUAGGAACCUUCUCCACCCCGCCGCCGCAGAUUCCCACAUGGCCUCAACCUCCUCCAUGACCUCGCCGGCCACUUUACUGCCACAAGGAGCCAUCCUUCCACCCGCAUCUUCGUUCAAGCUUGUCCAGCAGCUUGGCCAUCCUCUCUCCCGUCCUCUGCUGCUACUAGUGUGCGUGGAACAGGGAUCCAUCUGGGCUUGGAUUCCUCCUCCAAUUGGUGCUGCCAACGAGUUGGCCAUGGCUGGGCCACUCAGGUUGUCCAGGACACCCCGUCCGGGAUGGAGGUUAUUGCCCUGAGCAGAUCAGCUGCUGCACCAAAACCUUACUCCAGCCACAUCCUUGCUGCUUUGUUCACUGAUUUGGUUACAGAGACCUUGCUGGCUCACUAAAGGUUCGUAUGCAGGAUAAGGAGCAAGACUGUAGCUGCAAGCAAUCGACAUUUUCUCGACAUCUACAAUAUUCGCAGCAGCUUACCUCCUAUCGAGAAGUAUUUGGGUGAAGGAGCUUGUGUUACGGUCGGAGGUCCAAGAUGUAGUGUGAUGCCUGUUGUGUCAACAACAAAUGUAUCACUGCUCAAUCAUGGAUGUUUUUUGUUUUGGACUUUACCAGAAAUGAUAGAUUUUGUUAACUGAAUUGUGACAUGCAGCCAAAACUUAUGACCUGUGGUGAGAAGCCAAAUUUAUGGCUGUGUAGACACCUAUUUAGUACCUUGGAUGGCUACCACUUCUUUUGUAAAUGUUGUUGGAUUUCUGCUUGAACUGUGAGCUCAGACAAGAUGACUGUUGUAAGUUGCAACUGCUUCAGCUCAAUGACAAGAUGACUGUUGUUGGCUUUUCUGAAAAUUAUGAGCUAUAUGUAUAUGUUCUAGUUCUGUGUUCAUGUA